rnacentral:lncRNA from 1 species
AGGGAAACAGCCACAUCAGUUCACCAUGGCUGCUCUUCCAUGGUCCAAAACCUAAGUGCUCCAGGCCUGGUGGGCAAGCAGACGUCUGGACAGACCACACCACAUAGCAGGAAAGAUGAGGAAGCGGAGGCUUAGGAUGAUGAAUGCACUUGCCCAAGGUCACUCAGCGGACCCUAGACCCUGGGCCUAUCUGCCCCUGACCACCUGGCUCCACUUCCGCACCUUCUGCAUCUCCCUUGAGAGAUGGCUUCUCCAGCUCUGCUCUCAUACCAGAGCCUGACAUAUAGGAAGUGCUCAGCAAACAUUUGCCCUAUGAAGAGAUGAAUGAACAGGGCAACUUGGCAGUACUUGUAAAGGUGACGAUGAGCACGCACACGCAGAUCCAGCAAAACCCCAGAGAAAUGCUAACACACGUGUCCAUUGGGAGACACAUAUAAGGGUGUUCACAGCAGCACUCUUCCUUUUCUUCAAUUAUGCAAAGCUACCCACAGGUUCAUAAUCAGGAGACCGGAUGAAUAAGUCAUAAUGUAUUUAUACAAUGGAAUACCAUUACAGCAGUGAAAAUGAAUAAACUCCAGCUACAUGUGUUAACUUGGACACAUCUGAAACAUCCAUAUUAUUUCUGCAGCUGAAUGAUGGUGAAAGGGAGCUGUUGCAUCAAUCUUGAAACCUUCAUGUGUGUCUGAAAUAUUUCAUAAUGAAAAUAAAUGAAAAGAAGAAACGGAUGAAUGAAUGAAUGAAUGAAUGCUGCUUCCUCUCAACCAGAGAGCUGAUUCUCCUGCCUUUUCUUUGUUUUAUGUGUAUGUAUCUCUCUGAGACUUAAGAGCACUUUGGAGUCAGCCUAACCUGAACUGGAACCCUGGCUCUGCCCCUUGAUGCUUUGUGACCUGGUGACCCUGGUACCUCUCUACCCACUUCACAGAUGAGUGUGAGCAUUCACUGAGAUCAUGGCGUGUCUUGAAGUUUAUCUAGCCCAGUUCCCCAUUUCACAGAUGGCAAAAGUGAGGUACAAAUGGAAACUUCAGCUCCUUCCCUAGGAGCUAAAAAGAUAUUUGCUCCUUACCCCACAACACCCUGACAGGACCAGGGAAGAAGGUUGCCCAGAUGGUGAUCUG